AAGGUACGUAUCUCUAACCCUAAUUUCAUCAAAUUCAUUAACAAGUAUUCGAAAUCUCAUAGUUCUGUUUAUGAUUGUUUUGUAAACCCUAACCUCCAUCGUUAACCCCAAAAUUGAUGUUUCUUUGUAGAAGAUUGAAGAUUGUUCUUUGUUUUUCAAUGAAUUAUGAAGAAUGACGGUCGGUGGUUCUGAUUGGGUUUUUGUUGACGACUUUGAUGUUCAAUGUUUGUGUAGAUUUAUCUACUUCGCGAAUUAACAGGGAAUUGGAAACCUUAAUUUGAAUUAUUGGACUUCCAUCUGUUGUCAAGAAGAUAGCGAUGGUUCACAGGAAAUUGGAGUUUUCUAUGGGGAUUCCCCCUUUUAUCUUGAACCCAUUGAAGAUAUGACAAUUGUAACAAAAAUGGUUCAAAGUCAGCUUUCUGGAACAAGUUGUCUGGGCUUCUACAGGCAAGUUGCACAACUGACCAGUUAUGUAUAACGAAGAAGCAUUUGUUGUCCAUCAUAUGACCUCGGUGCCAGAGGCUAAGCAACGCAAGGCUGGUGUUGUAUCUGUUUGGGUCAGAGAACCUUAAAAAGAUGCUUCUUGAAUAUUUUGGGCUUUGAGGAAUAUGUUAUUACUAUGGAUUAUGUAAGAAUUUAUAUUUUAGACAUAGGUGGAGUUCUGACCAAUGUAAUGGGAGAAUUCAAAAGCAAGCUUUUGUUUACUGGGGUGAGUUUUAAAUCACCUAAAUUACACACCAGACCAGUUCUAUUUUGGAGUUGAGCUAUAAAUUCAUUGCACCCAUAUAUAUAUGUUGUACUUGAAGGCAAAUGGAAAGAAGGUUACCUAGCAAUGGCUCCAGUAGGUGCAACAAAUGUAGGGUAGGGAUGAGCUUAGUACCGAAAAUCCCCAAAAGUAUGUCCACUUCUUCAUUAGUUUAUGUAAUACAGUAUUUUUUUUCUAUUUAAUCUAUUUAUAUAUUUAUGAUCUA